rnacentral:rRNA from 1 species
AGCGAACGCUGGCGGCAGGCCUAACACAUGCAAGUCGAACGGAUCCUUCGGGAUUAGUGGCGGACGGGUGAGUAACACGUGGGAACGUGCCCUUUGGUUCGGAACAACUCAGGGAAACUUGAGCUAAUACCGGAUGUGCCCUUCGGGGGAAAGAUUUAUCGCCAUUGGAGCGGCCCGCGUCUGAUUAGCUAGUUGGUGAGGUAAAGGCUCACCAAGGCUACGAUCAGUAGCUGGUCUGAGAGGAUAAUCAGCCACAUUGGGACUGAGACACGGCCCAAACUCCUACGGGAGGCAGCAGUGGGGAAUCUUGCGCAAUGGGCGAAAGCCUGACGCAGCCAUGCCGCGUGAAUGAUGAAGGUCUUAGGAUUGUAAAAUUCUUUCACCGGGGACGAUAAUGACGGUACCCGGAGAAGAAGCCCCGGCUAACUUCGUGCCAGCCGCCGCCGUAAAAC